CCUACGGGAGGCAGCAGUGGGGAAUUUUGGACAAUGGGCGCAAGCCUGAUCCAGCUAUUCCGCGUGUGGGAAGACGGCCUUCGGGUUGUAAACCACUUUUGUAGAGAACGAAAAGUCUAUUGAUAAUACCGAUAGAUGAUGACGGUACUCUAAGAAUAAGCACAGGCUAACUACGUGCCAGCAGCCGCGGUAAUACGUAGGGUGCGUGCGUUAAUCGGAAUUACUGGGCGUAAAGGGUGUGUAGGCGGUUUUGCAAGAUGGAUGUGAAAGCCCCGGGCUUAACCUGGGAAAGCCAUACAUGACUGCAAGACUAGAGUGCGUCAGAGGGAGGUGGAAUUCCAGGUGUAGCAGUGAAAUGCGUAGAUAUUUGGAAGAACACCGAUGGCGAAGGCAGCCCCCUGGGACGCAACUGACGCUCAUACACGAAAGCGUGGGGAGCGAACAGGAUUAGAUACCCCAGUAGUC
rnacentral:rRNA from 1 species